AUUGAACGCUGGCGGCAUGCCUUACACAUGCAAGUCGAACGGCAGCACGGGAGCAAUCCUGGUGGCGAGUGGCGAACGGGUGAGUAAUAUAUCGGAACGUGCCCAGUAGUGGGGGAUAACUGCUCGAAAGAGCAGCUAAUACCGCAUACGACCUGAGGGUGAAAGGGGGGGAUCGCAAGACCUCUCGCUAUUGGAGCGGCCGAUAUCAGAUUAGCAAGUUGGUGGGGUAAAGGCCUACCAAGGCAACGAUCUGUAGUUGGUCUGAGAGGACGACCAGCCACACUGGGACUGAGACACGGCCCAGACUCCUACGGGAGGCAGCAGUGGGGAAUUUUGGACAAUGGGCGCAAGCCUGAUCCAGCAAUGCCGCGUGCAGGAAGAAGGCCUUCGGGUUGUAAACUGCUUUUGUCAGGGAAGAAAUCCUCUAGGUUAAUACCCUUGGGGGGAUGACGGUACCUGAAGAAUAAGCACCGGCUAACUACGUGCCAGCAGCCGCCGCGG
rnacentral:rRNA from 1 species